AUAUUUGAAAAAUAUGUUUGGCACCUUGUUACGUUAGGUAAUUACAAAUAUUUGACACUACUAAGUUAAUUUCCCCUGCAUUUAUAAAAUAGAUAAUAAAAUUGAUUGAAUGCAUUUUUUAGUUUUAUCUCACAUACAGACUUUGUAUAUAGAAGUGUAAGGGAUUUCAGGGGUUGAGAGAAUUAAUUUUUUUUCUUUCAAUGGUUAGAAAGAAAAAAGAGUUGUCAGAGAUACUAUAAACUCUUAUGCUGAAGGAAGACUACACUAGUUCAAGGUUGGAGACUAUUAAGGAAAAACCCAUUCUGAUGGUGAUUCAUACUUUUCCAUGUGCUAUUCAGUUCUUGAACCUCUUCUAUUUCCAUCCCAAUUCUACCCAUAUCCCAAGGACAUAUUCAGUAAGAACCUACUCUACACAUUGUAUUAUUUCUAAUGUUAUAAUACCUUCAAUUUAAAUUACUUUUCUUGUUCCUAAACUAUCCUUUCAAUGUAACACAUCACACAUUGUCAUUAAAGAAUGUCAGAGAAUACAUUAUUUUUAUAACUAAACUACAAACUAUUAAGGACAUGCCGACAAUGACCUUGUAGUAUAUUAAGCUUUCAGCUUAUAAACAAUAAUUAUAGUAAAUUUAGAAAGUGCUAUUGUAGUUAGUGCAUUGUAUCUUUUUAAUGUAAAUAAUUUCAAAAUGUAAUGAAAACAACAGCAAACAGAUAACAAUCAGAAGAAAAUAUUAAUUAGUAUUAAAUUUUAGGAAUCCAUAUAUCUAGAGAGAAUGACACAAUCUAAAAUAAAGUCCUGGCCCUAUCUGCUUUAUAUAAUAGCGUUUCAAAAUUAAGAACAUAAACUAAACAUUUUAUAUGAAAUUAUAGUAGCCAAAGGAUUUAAGCUCCCGGGUAUCCUGACCUUUUGAUUAAAUCACAGGUCUCUAUUCAUUAAGUAGUUAUUUUAACUAAAAAUAAUCUCAUUUAACAUUAAGGCAUAAUUUGUUUUUGGAAAAAAAUAGUAAAUAUUGAAUUUUGAUAUCAUGUAUUCUCUACAAAUUUGUGUUUACAUUUUUUUUUUUUUGCUAAACAAAGGAAAGUUUACAAAAUACUAAUUGAAAGAUUCAGAAGGGAUAUCAAUUCUGCCUUCCUGUUUAAUAGAUGCCAUUAUCAAGCAGUGUGAGUUUUAUUUAUUUCAUAGUUUAGUGGAAUUCAAUAUUACCUUGAUAUUAAUCAUAAUGGUUCAACUUUUCUCAAUUUUAAUGGCUGGAUAAAUUUAUUACUGAAAAAUGAUAUAAGCAGAUUUGUCAGGAACGUAUGUACAACACUUCUACAAUUAUUUGUAUAAUGCAUAUUUAGUGAAUACUUUUUACAUAGGAGACACCAUACUAUGUGUGUAAUCAGGGAAAAGCAAACCCAAGGAAAUCUCAACAAUAGUGGAAUCUUGUUCCUUACCACUUAAGUGCAUUUUGCAGCAAUUCUACCCUGUUCAUUGUUACCUAUAUGAAGACAUUGCUUGUACAAAUUGGAAGAGAAAAUGUAAUUUGACAAUUAGUUUUGAACCAAUUAUGUAUCUUUAAGAAAAUUAAGAAAACAAGUAGUUUCUUCAUUGUAGCAAAAGUAUCAUCAUUAUUAUUUGGUAGGUACUUCAAGGUACAUCUCUUGAAGUAGCUAUCUCUUGAAUGAACUAUUAUUUCUAUAGUGUUCAUGUGUUAUUGCAUGUAUUUCAUUUCAUCUAUUCAACUUUAAUGUAAUGCUGCUCAAUAAGUGGCUACACAUACAUACAUUAGCAUACAUGUAUACAUAGAUGAAUAGAUAGUAAGUUAUUUCUUGUAACAGCAAAAAUUUAGGGAUCUGAGUUUACUUUAUUUAUAAAAAUUUUUAAAGAAUUAAAAGAAUUAUAAAUGAUACUUGGGUAUACAGCAGUUUAUACAUAGGAGUUAAAUAUAAAAUCAAUUUAUAAUUCUGUAUGACUAGUAUGUGUACCUUGAAAAUGUUAGUAAUGAAAAAUUAUAUUAAUAUGAAUACAAC
rnacentral:lncRNA from 1 species